AAAAAUCUCAGAUCAAAUUUUUUUUUUUGCUGUUUACUUUUGCAAUUGCGUUUAUCAUUUAACCCAUUAUAUAUAUCUAUGUUGUGGCUUACAUCUCAGGAAAUGCUAGAAUGUGUAAAGAUUUGAACAUAGGUGUCACUAAUGUUCCAAUGCUUGAAGGCCGAUCAGGUAAAGCUAUGGAUGAUUUAGCAGCUCGUAUGAAGGACAAACAUUUGGAAUUAGACCCCAAGGAUAGUGAGAAAAUGGUCAGAAACCUCAAGCACAACAAGGAAACACGGGAAGAUGACCUGAAAGACAUUGCAUUUACCAUUUAAUCCAUUAUAUAUAUCUAUGUUGUGGCUUACAUCUCAGGAAAUGCUAGAAUGGGUAAAGAUUUGAACAUAGGUGUCACUAGUGUUCCAGAGCUUGAAGGCCGAUCAGGUAAACCUAUGGAUGAUCUAGCAGCUCCUACGAAGGAUAAACAUUUGGAAUUAGACCCCAAGGGUAGUGAGGAAAUGGUCAGAAACCUCAAGCACAACAAGGAAACACGGGAAGACGACCUGAAAGACAUGGAUGUUGGUUAUAUGGGUGAUCACACCAAAACCGGUACUCCUCUAGUAGAAAGUAUGGCCAAUGAAGUUCCAAAAGAUCCUUCGGAGAUCACAA
rnacentral:lncRNA from 1 species